rnacentral:misc_RNA from 1 species
AUGGCUUAAUCUUUGAGACAAGCAUAUGACUACUGGCAGGAUCAACCAGGUAGCAUUCCUCUCUUCGACGUAGCCCGCCACACAAGGACAAGCCGAGACGUGACGAGCAAUCGUUUUGGAGAAGCGAGAACGCUUAGCGAGGGCAAAUGCAGGAUCGUGUAAGACCCAUGCCCACAUCAGGUUCCAUAUACAAGAUACCAAGCAAUUCUUCAUGGGCCACAUCAUCGAUGCAUAAGCAGCAACAAGGCGGAUCACAAAGACCGCAUCAAGGUUCAUCUCACGCCGCAUGAGCAACGCAAGACAAAAAGGGACAUCUAUCAACCGACACAAUGCCAUUGAUUAGGUACGCAACACAGAAACCCACAAAACGCUCAAGACAUAAAUUGCCUUGCCGCACAACUGAAGAGGUAUGCACGCGAGGAAGUUGCUGCGCAAGCAGACACCAACCACCCGUAACAAACCAAAUACCACUCAUGCACCUUCCCGGUAAACAUUCCCGAAAACUGCCCAACUAGUAGCGACCCACCCAGCACAAAAGGCCAAGCGAAGCAACCAAAAGCCAAAACAGCCCCCAGAAUGC